GACGUAGGGCGCGAGCGUGUCCGGAUUAUUGGGCGUAAAGAGCGUGUAGGCGGCUUUACAGGUCCGUUGUGAAAACUCGAGGCUCAACCUCGAGACGCCGGUGGAAACCGUAAAGCUAGAGUCCGGAAGAGGAGAGUGGAAUUCCUGGUGUAGCGGUGAAAUGCGCAGAUAUCAGGAGGAACACCCGUGGCGAAAGCGGCUCUCUGGGACGGUACUGACGCUGAGACGCGAAAGCGUGGGGAGCAAACAGG
rnacentral:rRNA from 1 species